UAAAAACUGAAGUUCGGUGGUACUAUGGAACAUAGGGUGACACAUGUAAAAAAAUACAAACUGAAUUCGAUCAAACAGCUGUGUGACGCGACAAUAAAUAUAAAUAAAAAAAUGCUGUUUUUGCAAAAACAAAUAACAUCGUGCUAGCACAUUAACAGUCAUGUGAGGAAUACUUACACUAUACACAUGUAUAUUUAAAAUAUAAAAUCACCAAAAUUAAAAGAAUUUGACGCCAAAACUGUCAUCUAAUUGCACCACCUCACACUUGCCUUUAUUUUCGAGUGUCCGAAACGCAUUUAGUAGUAC